rnacentral:rRNA from 1 species
AGAGUUUGAUCCUGGCUCAGGAUGAACGCUGGCGGCGUGCUUAACACAUGCAAGUCGAACGAACCUUCGGGUUAGUGGCGGACGGGUGAGUAACGCGUGGGAAUCUGCCCUCAGGAGGGGGAUAACGGUUGGAAACGACCGCUAAUACCCCAUAUGCCGAGAGGUGAAAUGAAUUUCGCCUGAGGAUGAGCCCGCGUCUGAUUAGCUAGUUGGUGUGGUAAUGGCUCACCAAGGCUUCGAUCAGUAGCUGGUCUGAGAGGAUGAUCAGCCACACUGGGACUGAGACACGGCCCAGACUCCUACGGGAGGCAGCAGUGGGGAAUUUUCCGCAAUGGGCGAAAGCCUGACGGAGCAACGCCGCGUGAGGGAUGAAGGCCUCUGGGCUGUAAACCUCUUUUCUCAAGGAAGAAGAUCUGACGGUACUUGAGGAAUAAGCCACGGCUAAUUCCGUGCCAGCAGCCGCGGUAAUACGGGAGUGGCAAGCGUUAUCCGGAAUUAUUGGGCGUAAAGCGUCCGUAGGCGGCUUUUCAAGUCUGCUGUUAAAACGUGGAGCUUAACUCCAUCAAGGCAGUGGAAACUGAUUGGCUUGAGUGUGGUAGGGGCAGAGGGAAUUCCCGGUGUAGCGGUGAAAUGCGUAGAUAUCGGGAAGAACACCAGUGGCGAAGGCGCUCUGCUGGGCCAUAACUGACGCUCAUGGACGAAAGCCAGGGGAGCGAAAGGGAUUAGAUACCCCUGUAGUCCUGGCCGUAAACGAUGAACACUAGGUGUCGGGGGAAUCGACCCCUUCGGUGUCGUAGCCAACGCGUUAAGUGUUCCGCCUGGGGAGUACGCACGCAAGUGUGAAACUCAAAGGAAUUGACGGGGGCCCGCACAAGCGGUGGAGUAUGUGGUUUAAUUCGAUGCAACGCGAAGAACCUUACCAGGGUUUGACAUCCUGCGAAUCUCUUGGAAACGAGAGAGUGCCUUCGGGAACGCAGUGACAGGUGGUGCAUGGCUGUCGUCAGCUCGUGUCGUGAGAUGUUGGGUUAAGUCCCGCAACGAGCGCAACCCACGUUUUUAGUUGCCAGCAUUUAGUUGGGCACUCUAGAGAGACCGCCGGUGAUAAACCGGAGGAAGGUGUGGAUGACGUCAAGUCAUCAUGCCCCUUACAUCCUGGGCUACACACGUACUACAAUGCUACGGACAAAGGGCAGCAAACUCGCGAGGGCAAGCAAAUCCCAUAAACCGUGGCUCAGUUCAGAUCGUAGGCUGCAACUCGCCUACGUGAAGCAGGAAUCGCUAGUAAUCGCAGGUCAGCAUACUGCGGUGAAUACGUUCCCGGGCCUUGUACACACCGCCCGUCACACCAUGGAAGUUGGCCAUGCCCGAAGUCGUUACUCCAACCCUUGUGGAGGAGGACGCCGAAGGUGGGGCUGAUGACUGGGGUGAAGUCGUAACAAGGUAGCCGUACCGGAAGGUGCGGCUG